AACGAACGCUGGCGGCAUGCCUAACACAUGCAAGUCGAACGAGACCUUCGGGUCUAGUGGCGCACGGGUGCGUAACGCGUGGGAACCUGCCCUUAGGUUCGGAAUAACUCCCCGACAGGGGUGCUAAUACCGGAUAAUGUCUUCGGACCAAAGAUUUAUCGCCUUUGGAUGGGCCCGCGUUGGAUUAGCUAGUUGGUAGGGUAAAAGCCUACCAAGGCGACGAUCCAUAGCUGGUCUGAGAGGAUGAUCAGCCACACUGGGACUGAGACACGGCCGAGACUCCUACGGGAGGCAGCAGUGGGGAAUAUUGGACAACGGGCGAAAGCCUGAUCCAGCAAUGCCGCGUGAGUGAUGAAGGCCUUAGGGUUGUAAAGCUCUUUUACCCGGGAUGAUAAUGACAGUACCGGGAGAAUAAGCUCCGGCUAACUCCGUG
rnacentral:rRNA from 1 species